GGAUUAAGACUCUAUAGUAUCAUUUAAAGACAUCUUUUUAUGAUUAAAGGUUACGGUAUGAGAUGAGUAUGCGUUCUAUUAGUUUGUAGGUGAGGUAACGGCUCACCUAGACUGCGAUAGAUAGGGGCCCUGAGAGGGGGACCCCCCACACUGGUACUGAGACACGGACCAGACUCCUACGGGAGGCAGCAGUAAGGAAUAUUGGUCAAUGGACGAAAGUCUGAACCAGCCAUGCCGCGUGCAGGAUGAAUGCCCUAUGGGUUGUAAACUGCUUUUAUAUAGGAAGAAAAACUUUCUCGUGAGAAAGCUUGACGGUACUAUAAGAAUAAGGAUCGGCUAACUCCGUGCCAGCAGCCGCGGUAAUACGGAGGAUCCAAGCGUUAUCCGGAAUUAUUGGGUUUAAAGGGUCCGUAGGUGGAUAAUUUAGUCAGAGGUGAAAUCCUGCAGCUUAACUGUAGAAUUGCCUUUGAUACUGGUUAUCUUGAGUUAUUAUGAAGUGAUUAGAAUGUGUAGUGUAGCGGUGAAAUGCAUAGAUAUUACACAGAAUACCGAUUGCGAAGGCAGAUCACUAAUAAUCAACUGACACUGAGGGACGAAAGCGUGGGUAGCGAACAGGAUUAGAUACCCUGGUAGUCCACGCCGUAAACGAUGGUCACUAGCUGUUUGGACUUCGGUCUGAGUGGCUAAGCGAAAGUGAUAA
rnacentral:rRNA from 1 species